UUAGAACCUCAAGAUGGAUCUAAAUAAUGAAUGCAGAAGCCCAGCAGAUUUUCAGUGCAAAGAUGUAUCAGAUGAAGAUGUGGCAGGAAAGCAGGAGGAGACCUUCUGAGGAGAAAACGCUUGACAUACCAGUGUGUCAGUGCAGACGGGGGUUUGAGCCUGGGUGGUACAGUCCCGAGCCAUGCGCCACCUGUUCUUAUGGCAUAAGCAGAAAUGUUCAGUACUCUAUCCCCUGGCUUUCUGCACCAUAUGUAAAUGUUCUCUCUGGUGCUAACUUGUGAGAUUGAUCAAAAUGCAGCUAUCACAGUGGACAGCAAUAAUGUGGAAGAGGUAGGUUCAUCAACCAGGAGUCGCAAUUGAUGAUAAUACUGUUUCUUCAUUGUGUAUUGUUCUGGCCAAUCUUGCUGGCUUACUGGUAGCA